GAGCCCUGAGGAAGGGCAGCACCUCCCCAGUAACAGCGCUGGCCAAAACACACACAACAAGAGUAUCUAAAGCUAGACCUGGGGACAGCCCCCCUCUGCACUGAGACCGGCGGCAACUCCAGGAUGACCCAUUUCCUUUCACAAUUGCACCAGGCCCCUCUCUGAAGAAAACAUCAAGCUUCUGAAGCCAAGCCACCUUGAAAUUUGGGAGACAGCUUUUCUAGCUGAAGUUUGUCUUUGCUGCAGCAGAGUAACCUCAAGCACUUGACUAUUAC